GGUUAAGCGACUAAGCGUACACGGUGGAUGCCUAGGCAGUCAGAGGCGAUGAAGGGCGUGCUAAUCUGCGAUAAGCGUCGGUAAGGUGAUAUGAACCGCAACAACCGACGAUACCCGAAUGGGGAAACCCAGUGUGAUACGUCACACUAUCAUGUCAUGAAUACAUAGUGGCAUGAGGCGAACCGGGGGAACUGAAACAUCUAAGUACCCCGAGGAAAAGAAAUCAACCGAGAUUCCCCCAGUAGCGGCGAGCGAACGGGGAACAGCCCAGAACCUGAAUCAGUUUGUGCAUUAGUGGAAGCGUCUGGAAAGUCGCAGGGUACAGGGUGAUACUCCCGUACACAAAAAUGCACUUACUGUGAGUUCGAUGAGUAGGGCGGGACACGUGACAUCCUGUCUGAAUAUGGGGGGACCAUCCUCCAAGGCUAAAUACUCCUGACUGACCGAUAGUGAACCAGUACCGUGAGGGAAAGGCGAAAAGAACCCCGGCGAGGGGAGUGAAACAGAACCUGAAACCGUGUACGUACAAGCAGUGGGAGCCUACUUGUUAGGUGACUGCGUACCUUUUGUAUAAUGGGUCAGCGACUUAUAUUCUGUAGCAAGGUUAACCGUAUAGGGGAGCCGAAGGGAAACCGAGUCUUAACUGGGCGUUAAGUUGCAGGGUAUAGACCCGAAACCCGGUGAUCUAGCCAUGGGCAGGUUGAAGGUUGGGUAACACUAACUGGAGGACCGAACCGACUAAUGUUGAAAAAUUAGCGGAUGACUUGUGGCUGGGGGUGAAAGGCCAAUCAAACCGGGAGAUAGCUGGUUCUCCCCGAAAGCUAUUUAGGUAGCGCCUCGUGAACUCAUCUUCGGGGGUAGAGCACUGUUUCGGCUAGGGGGCCAUCCCGGCUUACCAACCCGAUGCAAACUGCGAAUACCGAAGAAUGUUAUCACGGGAGACACACGGCGGGUGCUAACGUCCGUCGUGAAGAGGGAAACAACCCAGACCGCCAGCUAAGGUCCCAAAGUCAUGGUUAAGUGGGAAACGAUGUGGGAAGGCACAGACAGCCAGGAUGUUGGCUUAGAAGCAGCCAUCAUUUAAAGAAAGCGUAAUAGCUCACUGGUCGAGUCGGCCUGCGCGGAAGAUGUAACGGGGCUAAACCAUGCACCGAAGCUGCGGCAGCGAUACGUAAGUAUUGUUGGGUAGGGGAGCGUUCUGUAAGCCGUCGAAGGUGGACUGUGAGGUCUGCUGGAGGUAUCAGAAGUGCGAAUGCUGACAUAAGUAACGAUAAAGCGGGUGAAAAGCCCGCUCGCCGGAAGACCAAGGGUUCCUGUCCAACGUUAAUCGGGGCAGGGUGAGUCGACCCCUAAGGCGAGGCCGAAAGGCGUAGUCGAUGGGAAACAGGUUAAUAUUCCUGUACUCGGUGUUACUGCGAAGGGGGGACGGAGAAGGCUAUGUUAGCCGGGCGACGGUUGUCCCGGUUUAAGCGUGUAGGCUUGAGUUCCAGGCAAAUCCGGAACUCUUUAAGGCUGAGGCGUGAUGACGAGGCACUACGGUGCUGAAGUAACAAAUGCCCUGCUUCCAGGAAAAGCCUCUAAGCAUCAGGUAACACCGAAUCGUACCCCAAACCGACACAGGUGGUCAGGUAGAGAAUACCAAGGCGCUUGAGAGAACUCGGGUGAAGGAACUAGGCAAAAUGGUGCCGUAACUUCGGGAGAAGGCACGCUGCC
rnacentral:rRNA from 1 species